GACUUGUAACACAGUCUGUAACACAAGCAGUUCUUGUCCUUUCUCACCAUUUUUUUGUAGGAUAGAAUAGCACCCAUUACAACCAGACCAUGUGCCAGGUUUGCAAAUGUCUUGAGAAUCUAAAAAUCGUGACCAUCAUCUUCUCCAGUGUGUCAUGGAAGCAGAUGGAGAUGGCCUUCCAAGUCAGCACUAAACCACAGUCCUCGGUGCUCUGAUGGGGGACUCCCAUUUCUCUUCUCUGUCUUGCUUGUAAGAUACACCCACGGACAGAGUGCAGACUCAGCCAGCCUCUUCUGUCAGGACAAAACACCAUCCCCUGGAAAACUUAGGAGAUGCUCGUGCUGCAAGUCCAUGCCUGCAGUUGAUGGUCCCCAUCAAGCCCAGCACAGAGGAGGCCGUGGUCAUACCUGCAUCAAGAGGAAAUGUGAAGGAAACACAGUAUCCACACCUCAUUCCAGAGAGGGAUAAACACAUAUGGUUUGUUUGAAACUGCAACACCAGGUUUAAGGCAAAUGUAACAACAUUAUGCAAUCCUCUUCAAAUACUCUUCUUAUUGCUAUUAAACUUUAUUAAUAUAAGAAUAUAAGUGCUUCAAGGCACUCCUUUUUAGACUUCAAUAAAGUCCUCUUGUAUUAACA
rnacentral:lncRNA from 1 species